UUGCCUUUUAAAACAAGGAACAGCACACCUGCUAAAAUUGGAACGAUACAGAGAUUAGCAUGGUCCCUACACAAAAGUGACACCCCAGGUCAUGAAACAUUCCAUUUUUUA